AUAGCCUAGCUGUUAAGACAUCAGCCUCCUAUUUGGGGAUCGGGGGUUCGACCCCGAGCACACGCCGCUAUUCA